rnacentral:rRNA from 1 species
AGGUUAAGUGAAUAAGGGCGCACGGAGGAUGCCUUGGCACUAGGAGUCGAAGAAGGACGCGACAAACGGCGAAACGCCUCGGGGAGCUGUAAGUGAGCUUUGAUCCGGGGAUAUCCGAAUGGGGAAACCCGCUAGUGGUUAUACGCUAGCACCAUAUGGUGAAUACAUAGCCAUAUAGGAGACAGACCCAGGGAACUGAAACAUCUAAGUACCUGGAGGAAAAGAAAGAAAAAUCGAUUCCCGUAGUAGCGGCGAGCGAAGUGGGAAGAGCCCAAACCGGCACUAGCCGGGGUUGUAGGACCUUCAUAAUUGACAAAUCAUGAUAGCCGAGUGGUCUGGGAAGGCCAACCGGAGAGGGUGAGAGUCCCGUAGGUGAAAUUGUGAAAUGCAUGGAAGGAAUCCUGAGUACGGCGGGACACGUGGAAUCCCGUCGGAAUCAACGAGGACCAUCUCGUAAGGCUAAAUACUACCUAGUGACCGAUAGUGAACCAGUACCGUGAGGGAAAGGUGAAAAGAACCCCGGAAGGGGAGUGAAAGAGAACCUGAAACCGUGUGCCUACAAAUAGUCAGAGCCCGUUAAUGGGUGAUGGCGUGCCUUUUGUAGAAUGAACCGGCGAGUUACGAUAUCGUGCGAGGUUAAGCAGAAGAUGCGGAGCCGUAGCGAAAGCGAGUCUGAAUAGGGCGAAGAGUACGAUGUUGUAGACCCGAAACCGUGUGAGCUAGCCAUGAGCAGGCUGAAGGUCAGGUAACACUGACUGGAGGGCCGAACCAGGGCACGUUGAAAAGUGCUUGGAUGACUUGUGGCUAGGGGUGAAAUUCCAAUCGAACACGGAUAUAGCUGGUUCUCUCCGAAAUAGCUUUAGGGCUAGCCUCGAUGGCAAGUCUACUGGAGGUAGAGCACUGAAUGGGUGAUGGCCCCACCUCGGGGUACUGAUCUCAAUCAAACUCCGAAUGCCAGAUAGAUAUCAUCGGGAGUCAGACUGUGGGUGAUAAGGUCCAUGGUCAAAAGGGAAAGAGCCCAGACCGCCAGCUAAGGCCCCCAAGUGUCCGUUAAGUGGAAAAGGAUGUGGAGAUGCACAGACAACUAGGAGGUUGGCUUAGAAGCAGCCAUCCUUUAAAGAGUGCGUAAUAGCUCACUAGUCGAGUGACUCUGCGCCGAAAAUGUACCGGGGCUAAACGGACCGCCGAAGCUGCGGAUUGACACUUAGGUGUCAGUGGUAGGAGAGCGUUCUAACAGCGGAGAAGCAGUACCGGAAGGAGCUGUGGAGCGGUUAGAAGUGAGAAUGCCGGUGUGAGUAGCGAAAGAUAGGUGAGAAUCCUAUCCAUCGAAAGCCUAAGGUUUCCAGGGGAAGGCUCGUCCGCCCUGGGUAAGUCGGGACCUAAGGUGAGGCCGAAAGGCGUAGCCGAUGGACAACAGGUUGAUAUUCCUGUACCACUUAUUAAACUGAUGGAGUGACGGAGAAGGCUAAGUUGAGCGUGUUAAUGGAUUCACGUGUAAGCAGUGAGGUGGUCAUGUAGGCAAAUCCGCAUGGCAUAACAUUGAGCUGUGAUGCCGAAGCCGUAUGGCGAAGUCAACUGAUGUCACGCUUCCAAGAAAAGCUUCUAGGGUUAAUUUAGUAAGUGCCCGUACCGAUAACCGACACAGGUAGGCGAGGAGAGAAUCCUAAGAUGAGCGAGAGAACUCUUGUUAAGGAACUCGGCAAAAUGACCCCGUAACUUCGGGAGAAGGGGUGCUUGUGAAAGCAAGCCGCAGUGAAUAGGCCCAGGCGACUGUUUAUCAAAAACACAGGUCUCUGCUAAACCGCAAGGUGAUGUAUAGGGGCUGACGCCUGCCCGGUGCUGGAAGGUUAAGAGGAGAGGUUAGCGCAAGCGAAGCUUUGAAUUGAAGCCCCAGUAAACGGCGGCCGUAACUAUAACGGUCCUAAGGUAGCGAAAUUC